rnacentral:rRNA from 1 species
GAUGAACGCUGGCGGCGUGCCUAAUACAUGCAAGUCGAGCGAACAGACGAGGAGCUUGCUCCUCUGACGUUAGCGGCGGACGGGUGAGUAACACGUGGAUAACCUACCUAUAAGACUGGGAUAACUUCGGGAAACCGGAGCUAAUACCGGAUAAUAUAUUGAACCGCAUGGUUCAAUAGUGAAAGACGGUUUUGCUGUCACUUAUAGAUGGAUCCGCGCCGCAUUAGCUAGUUGGUAAGGUAACGGCUUACCAAGGCGACGAUGCGUAGCCGACCUGAGAGGGUGAUCGGCCACACUGGAACAGAGACGCGGUCCAGACUCCUACGGGAGGCAGCAGUAGGGAAUCUUCCGCAAUGGGCGAAAGCCUGACGGAGCAACGCCGCGUGAGUGAUGAAGGUCUUCGGAUCGUAAAACUCUGUUAUUAGGGAAGAAAAAAUGUGUAAGUAACUAUGCACGUCUUGACGGUACCUAAUCAGAAAGCCACGGCUAACUACGUG